UGAUAAUUUCUCACUCGUUUGUAUAUCAAGAAAGUAAAAAGUAGCUUAAAGCAGGAAUAUCAAUUUCAUCAUAAUGUCCAAUUUUGAUACUAACUAGUUCUUGGGAGAAAGAACGAAACAGGGUAGAAGAAGAACGAAGAACAAAAUUAGCUGAGACAAUUAUCAGCAAGAAAAGAAGAAGGAAGAAGAGAACUAGCAAGAAAAGUGAUAAGAAAUUACUGAUUGGGGUACUAAGUUUUGGGACUCGGAUCAGCUGUUCUGUCUUUCUUUCUUGAUUCAGCGUUUUUGCCAGGAAGCUCAUAAUAUGGAUACCUUUAAAGUCUUAGUAGUAGGAUAUCGGAAAACAGGGAAGAGUAGCAUCCUUAGAAGCUUAAAUGGUCAUAUGGAUCCAGAUUUAAAUACCUGCAAUGUAGAUUUUCCAACAAGAGAUGACGGGAACCUAAGAUUUGUUUGUUCCGAACAUUCGGAAAUUACUAUGACAAACGUUUGCGCUUACCACGGGAUUAUGAUAGUAUUUGAUGUUAUGCAAAUGGAGUCUUACAGACGCAUGCAAACCUUUUGCAGAAUUCUGAAAAGCUUGGGGAUGAACAAGCCGGUUGUGAUAGUUGGAAAUAAGAGUGACUAUCCCAAUUGGAAAGUUAAGGGCAUAGCUGCGGAUAAAGUUUUUGAUCUUCCAUUGUAUACCGUAUCUGCAAAGACAAAUUCAAAUGUGGAGAAACCAUUCCUUACUCUCGCCAGAUAAAUUAAAGGUGUACCUACAUUGUCCUUUGUACAAGGAGUGGAUGUGCCUCUGCCCCAGCCUGAUCUUCCCGCCCCCAUCGCUGAUAAUGCCGCUAAUGCUGACGAAGAGGCAGUUCAGGCCCCAAAUGCUGACGAAGAGGCAGCUCAGGCCCCUAUUGCCAAUGAAGAGGUUAUUCUGAAAUCUCCCACAUUGACAUGUCUAGAUGCUAUGGAUGACCCCAAUCCUGGUCCUGUUGAUGGCGCUUCUGAUCCUAAUAACAUUCCUGCUAAAGCCGCACCACUGCCAUUGCCCUCGAAUAAAGUCCUUAAUCGAAAGCCCACGCUGAGAAUUCGUGGAAAUGAAGGCGAGUUGGACUUGGAGGAUAUAAUCAGAAGCCAGAGACGUAGCUGCUGCUACUACCUUUAAGCACAAAGCUUCACUGUUUUCUGUAAAGCAGAAUUGGUUAAAGAGAUGAAGCAAUUUGUGGUAUAUUUUUUCUGCUCGUCUCUCUUGAAGACUUCAUCAGCUAUAAUGACUAUGUUUUCCUAGAUUCAGAAAACUACUGUCGGAGUUUGUAGAUUCCAGUACUUCCCUUCUGGUGUUUGAGGAGUUGUAUGGUUUUCUGAUUUUUGUUGAAGCUUAAUGACUUGUCAGACUUUGCUUGUUGCAGUCUGUUUUGGUUCUUCGAAUAUUUGUUACUUCAAGAUGAUUAUGUUUGUAUCAGAUUGAAGGGGUAUGUUUCGUUUCUUUAUGUACCCUGAGCCCUCUCCUGUAAUUGGUAUCAAAUAUUCAGUUUA